rnacentral:rRNA from 1 species
GACGAACGCUGGCGGCGUGCCUAACACAUGCAAGUCGAACGGAGUAAUUUCUUCGGAGAUUACUUAGUGGCGAACGGGUGAGUAACGCGUGAGAAACCUGCCUUUCAGUGGGGGACAACAGUUGGAAACGACUGCUAAUACCGCAUAAUGUUUCGAGAGGGCAUCCUCUUGAAACCAAAGCUUUAUGUGCUGAAAGAUGGUCUCGCGUCUGAUUAGCUAGUUGGUGAGGUAACGGCUCACCAAGGCGACGAUCAGUAGCCGGUCUGAGAGGAAGGUCCCCCACACUGGAACUGAGACACGGUCCAGACUCCUACGGGAGGCAGCAGUGAGGAAUAUUGGUCAAUGGUCUGACGACUGAACCAGCCAUGCCGCGUGAAGGUGACGGCCCUAUGGGUCUUAAACUUCUUUUGUAAGGGAGCAAUAAGUUUCACGUGUGGGACGAUGAGAGUACCUUACGAAUAAGCAUCGGCUAACUCCGUG